rnacentral:lncRNA from 1 species
AAGAAGUUUAGACAAAAAUAAGUUUUCCAAUCAUUAGGUCACCAGGAAACUUACACAAAUGAAGCUUUCUGAGGAAUCCAUCUAUUUUGUUCCAGCUGAAGUUAAGAAUACUCUUUGCCUUGAAAAGUUCAGUGGCCCAGUGAUAGUUGUUGCCAUGACUGCAAAUGGGUGAGGCUGUAGUGAUAUUCUCCAAUUAAAGGAUCAGAACCUUGGGGCUGGGGUUCAGUGUAUAAAGCAUUUGUCAUGCAAGUUUGAGAACUGGUUCAGACCCCCAAACCCCAUAUAAGGCCAGGUGGGCAUAUUGGCUUGUCUGUAAUCUCAGCACUUGGGAGGCAGAGACAGGGUUCCCUGGGGCUUGUUGCCUAGCUAGACUAGCCCAGAGAUCCACCUUAGUAAUAAAGUAGAAGGUAAUGGAAGAUUACAGUGACAACCACCUCAGGCUUCCACACGCACAGGCACCUAUCUGCCCGUCCACAUACAUGCGAAACAACAAAACCCGUGACUUACUGGGUACUUUCUUGAAAGGUAUUUGAGGAUGCUGUAAAUAGCAUGACACCAACAGAGUGCUAUUUUAGUCUGGGGUGGGAUGUGCAGAAAGCAAAUAAACUUCCAGACUGUAAUGCCUGGUUGUUAGGCUUUCUUUGUCCCUCUUGGAGUCUGCACUCACCCAUAUGAUCUUGUUUUGUCUCCACUUGACAAGAGGCAGGGACAGGACACCAAUCAGUCGGUGACCUCUGGGUUCAGUCAAAAGACCCUGAUUCAGUAAGUUAUAGUAGGGUGUGAUCCAAACACCUGGCAUCUCCUGAGGGCCUCCACAUGUGUGCUCUCAUGUGUUUACUUGCACCCACAUACAAACAUGCCUACAUAUGCACACACAACACACACUCUGAGUUUAAAAUAUUUUGCAAACAAUUAGAAGUGAGACAUUUAUUUUUAAUAAUAAAUUUUAAAUGAACAGCUAGAAAAAAAACAAAACAGAAUCUUUGCAUGUCUGCGCUUAGCAAACCUGUGUGGAUGCUGACUCCUCAUAAGGAACAAACAAAUCUGAUGGGAGAUGUCCUUCUGUAUAUAUGUUUCUCUUAUUGGUUGAUGAGUAAAACACUGAUUGGCUGAUUGGCCAGGCAGGAAGUAUAGGCAGGGCUAGGAGAUGAGGAAAAUUCUGGGAAAUGUAGGUAGACAGAGUUGUCAUGUAGAGCCCGGGAAGAGAGGACGUGCCAGACGUCCUCCGGUAAGCCAAGACCAUGUGGAUAUACAUAGAUUAAUAGAAAUGGGUUAAUAAUUAGGCCAAUAAGAAGCCUAAGCCACCGGCCAACAGUUUUAUACCUCAUAUAGCGUAUGUGUGUUUAUUUGGGGUUGAGGCAGAUGUGGAACCAAUUGGCAGGGAAGAAUCUCCGCUUACACAAAUCACACCUUUAAAAUUGUUGAUGAUGGUUGAGAAGGUGUUGUGUGCUUCAGGACCCUGAGCCUUUUGGCUGUAAUCUCCUGGAUCUAUAUCCUGGAAAACUGUACCCCGGGUUGGAGAAGGAAGCCUUUUCCUUUGGCUGAUAUUCUGGCUGCCCUGGAAGAAGGCCCAAAGCAGAUGACUCCCUUGAUCCUGCUGGAAACUCAGAACGGGAAAACAUUAGGAGUGACUUCAGUGUGGAGUGAUUAGCCAUCAUUGGGUCACCUCCUGCUUGGAAAUCCUUUGGCUCUUGCCUGAGCCAUGGUCCUGGUUAAAGCAUGGUGAUGGGAUUGGUUCCACCAUUCCUCUCAGGACUCGCGGAGGCCCUCCUCUGACGCACAAGCACACACUCUGACUUAAACCUGGAAUGACAGCAGCUCUCUGGAAUUUUUUGAGACAAACUGAC